AACGAACGCUGGCGGCAUGCCUAACACAUGCAAGUCGAACGAGACCUUCGGGUCUAGUGGCGCCCGGGUGCGUAACGCGUGGGAACCUGCCCUUAGGUUCGGAAUAACUCACCGAAAGGGGUGCUAAUACCGGAUAUUAUCUUCGGACCAAAGAUUUAUCGCCUUUGGAUGGGCCCGCGUUGCAUUAGCUGGUUGGUAGGGUAAAAGCCUACCAAGGCGACGAUCCAUAGCUGGUCUGAGAGACUGAUCCGCCACACUGGGACUGAGACGCGGCCCAGACUCCUACGGGAUGCAGGAGUGGGUGAUAUUGGACAACGGGCGAAGGGCUGAUCCAGCAAGGCCGCGUGAGUGAUGAAGUCCUGAGAGAUGUAAAGCACUUUUACCCGGUAGGAUAAUGACAGUACCGGAAGAAUAAGCACCGGCUAACUCCGUG
rnacentral:rRNA from 1 species